AGUGAACGCUGGCGGUAGGCCUAACACAUGCAAGUCGAACGGCAGCACAGUAAGAGCUUGCUCUUACGGGUGGCGAGUGGCGGACGGGUGAGGAAUACAUCGGAAUCUACUUUUUCGUGGGGGAUAACGUAGGGAAACUUACGCUAAUACCGCAUACGACCUGCGGGUGAAAGCAGGGGAUCUUCGGACCUUGCGCGAUUGAAUGAGCCGAUGUCGGAGUAGCUAGUUGGCGGGGUAAAGGCCCACCAAGGCGACGAUCCGUAGCUGGUCUGAGAGGAUGAUCAGCCACACUGCAACUGAGACACGGUCCAGACUCCUACGGGAGGCAGCAGUGGGGAAUAUUGGACAAUGGGCGCAAGCCUGAUCCAGCCAUGCCGCGUGGGUGAAGAAGGCCUUCGGGUUGUAAAGCCCUUUUGUUGGGAAAGAAAAGCAGCAGGUUAAUCCCCCGCUGUUCUGACGGUACCCAAAGAAUAAGCACCGGCUAACUUCGUG
rnacentral:rRNA from 1 species